rnacentral:rRNA from 3 species
UACGAAGGGGGCUAGCGUUGUUCGGAUUUACUGGGCGUAAAGCGCACGUAGGCGGACUAUUAAGUCAGGGGUGAAAUCCCGGGGCUCAACCCCGGAACUGCCUUUGAUACUGGUAGUCUUGAGUUCGAGAGAGGUGAGUGGAAUUCCGAGUGUAGAGGUGAAAUUCGUAGAUAUUCGGAGGAACACCAGUGGCGAAGGCGGCUCACUGGCUCGAUACUGACGCUGAGGUGCGAAAGCGUGGGGAGCAAACAGG